GACGUAGGGCGCGAGCGUUGUCCGGAUUUAUUGGGCGUAAAGAGCGUGUAGGCGGCUAGGUAGGUCCGUUGUGAAAACUCGAGGCUCAACCUCGAGACGCCGGUGGAAACCAUCUAGCUAGAGUCCGGAAGAGGAGAGUGGAAUUCCUGGUGUAGCGGUGAAAUGCGCAGAUAUCAGGAAGAACACCCGUGGCGAAGGCGGCUCUCUGGGACGGUACUGACACUGAGACGCGAAAGCGUGGGGAGCGAACAGG
rnacentral:rRNA from 1 species